rnacentral:rRNA from 1 species
GAUGAACGCUGGCGGCGUGCUUAACACAUGCAAGUCGAACGGGAUCCAAGGGGUGCUUGCACUUUUUGGUGAGAGUGGCGAACGGGUGAGUAACACGUGAGUAACCUGUCCUUUUCUUUGGGAUAAGCAUUCGAAAGGGUGUUUAAUACCUUAUGUUCUGUCUGCCUCGCAUGGGGUGGGUGGGAAAGGCUUUGGCCGGAUUUGGGUGGGCUCGCGGUCUAUCAGCUUGUUGGUGGGGUGAUGGCUUACCAAGGCUUUGACGGGUAGCCGGCCUGAGAGGGUGGUCGGUCACAUUGGGACUGAGAUACGGCCCAGACUCCUGCGGUAGGCAGCAGUGGGGGAUAUUGCACAAUGGGCGAAAGCCUGAUGCAGCGACGCCGCGUGGGGGAUGAAGGCCUUCGGGUUGUAAACUUCUUUUGCUCUGAACAAGGCAUGCCAGUGGGUGUGUUGAGUGUAGGGGUUGAUUAGCGCCGGCUAACUACGUG